UACGGAGGGGGCUAGCGUUGUUCGGAAUGACUGGGCGUAAAGGGCGCGUAGGCGGCGAUUCAAGUCAGGUGUGAAAGGCCUGGGCUCAACCCGGGAACUGCACUUGAUACUGAAUUGCUUGAGUCCGGGAGAGGAUGGCGGAAUUCCCAGUGUAGAGGUGAAAUUCGUAGAUAUUGGGAAGAACACCAGUGGCGAAGGCGGCCAUCUGGACCGGUACUGACGCUGAGGCGCGAAAGCGUGGGGAGCAAACAGG
rnacentral:rRNA from 1 species